rnacentral:lncRNA from 1 species
AUGAUCAGGACAACUAACGUGGUUGAACUAGAAUGGAUCUUAGGAAGUCACUUUUCUUUUGCCAGUAACACAUGCAUUCUUGUGCAUGAAGCAAUGUAUGGCUGACAGCCAUCAACUGAAUUACUCAACAGCUCCUCUUUGGUGCAAUGCACUGUGUUGGACUCUGAUACCCUGAAUUCUUGAUCCUCAAGGCAUCGCCAGGACAUUGGACUUUAGGAUGCAAGAGAAGAUAAGGAAGACAAGAUCUCAACCACUUUCAGCAAAGCUUUGCGGAGAAUGCAACAUCCUUCAAGACACCAU